UACGAAGGGGGCUAGCGUUGUUCGGAAUCACUGGGCGUAAAGCGCACGUAGGCGGAUUUUUAAGUCAGGGGUGAAAUCCCGAGGCUCAACCUCGGAACUGCCUUUGAUACUGGGGAUCUCGAGUCCGGGAGAGGUGAGUGGAACUGCGAGUGUAGAGGUGAAAUUCGUAGAUAUUCGCAAGAACACCAGUGGCGAAGGCGGCUCACUGGCCCGGAACUGACGCUGAGGUGCGAAAGCGUGGGGAGCAAACAGG
rnacentral:rRNA from 1 species